CAGCCGCCGCGGUAAUACCGGCGGCCCGAGUGGCGGUCACUAUUAUUGGGCUUAAAACGUCCGUAGCCGGGUUGGGAAGUCCUCCGGGAAAUCUGGCCGCUUAACGGUCAGAAUGCCGGAGGAUACUCCCAGCCUAGGGAGCGGGGGAGGCCGAGGGGAUUCCCGGAGUAGGGGGGAAAUCCUAUAAUCCCGGGAGGACCACCUGUGGCGAAGGCGCUCGGCUGGAACGCGUCCGACGGUGAGGGACGAAGGCCAGGGGAGCAAACCGGAUUAGAUACCCGGGUAGUCCUGGCUGUAAACGAUGCGGACUUUGUGUCGGACAAGCUAUGAGCUUGUCCGGUGCCGGAGGGAAACCGUUAAGUCCGCCGCCUGGGGAGUACGGCCGCAAGGCUGAAACUUAAAGGAAUUGGCGGG
rnacentral:rRNA from 1 species